rnacentral:rRNA from 1 species
CCCUUUCCGGUUGAUCCUGGCAGAGGUUACUGCUAUCGAGGUUCGACUAAGCCAUGCGAGUCGAAUGUAGCAAUACAUGGCGUACUGCUCAGUAACACGUGGACAACCUACCCUUAGGCCUGGGAUAACCCCGGGAAACUGGGAAUAAUACCGGAUAUAUCGCGAAUGCUGGAAUGCAUCGCGAUAGAAAGCUCCGACGCCUAAGGAUGGGUCUGCGGCCUAUCAGGGUAGUAGUGGGUGUAAUGUACCUACCAGCCUACGACGGGUACGGGUUGUGAGAGCAAGAGCCCGGAGAUGGAUUCUGAGACACGAAUCCAGGCCCUACGGGGUGCAGCAGGCGCGAAAACUUUACAAUGCUGGCAACAGCGAUAAGGGGACCUCGAGUGCCAGGAUACAAUCCUGGCUGUCGUAAUGCCUAAAAAGCAUUGCAUAGCAAGGGCCGGGCAAGACCGGUGCCAGCCGCCGCGGUAACACCGGCGGCUCGAGUGGUAACCGCUAUUAUUGGGUCUAAAGGGUCUGUAGCCGGCUGAAUAAGUCUCUUGGGAAAUCUGGCAGCUUAACUGUCAGGCUUUCAGGAGAUACUGUUCGGCUCGAGACCGGGAGAGGUGAGAGGUACCUCAGGGGUAGGGGUGAAAUCUUGUAAUCCUUGAGGGACCACCAGUGGCGAAGGCGUCUCACCAGAACGGAUCUGACGGCAAGGGACGAAAGCUAGGGGCACGAACCGGAUUAGAUACCCGGGUAGUCCUAGCCGUAAACGAUACUCGCUAGGUGUCGGCCACGGUGCGACCGUGGUCGGUGCCGUAGGGAAGCCGUGAAGCGAGCCACCUGGGAAGUACGGCCGCAAGGCUGAAACUUAAAGGAAUUGGCGGGGGAGCACUACAACGGGUGGAGCUUGCGGUUUAAUUGGAUUCAACGCCGGAAAUCUCACCGGGACCGACAGCGAUAUGAAGGCCAGGCUGAAGACCUUGCCGGAUUAGCUGAGAGGUGGUGCAUGGCCGUCGUCAGUUCGUACUGUGAAGCAUCCUGUUAAGUCAGGCAACGAGCGAGACCCAAAGGG